rnacentral:rRNA from 1 species
AGUGAACGCUGGCGGUAGGCCUAACACAUGCAAGUCGAACGGCAGCACAGUAAGAGCUUGCUCUUACGGGUGCCGAGUGGCGGACGAGUGAGGAAUACAUCGGAAUCUACUUUUUCGUGGGGGAUAACGUAGGGAAACUUACGCUAAUACCGCAUACGACCUACGGGUGGAAGCAGGGGAUCUUCGGACCUUGCGCGAUUGAAUGAGCCGAUGUCGGAUUAGCUAGUUGGCGGGGUAAAGGCCCACCAAGGCGACGAUCCGUAGCUGGUCUGAGAGGAUGAUCAGCCACACUGGAACUGAGACACGGUCCAGACUCCUACGGGAGGCAGCAGUGGGGAAUAUUGGACAAUGGGCGCAAGCCUGAUCCAGCCAUACCGCGUGGGUGAAGAAGGCCUUCGGGUUGUAAAGCCCUUUUGUUGGGAAAGAAAAGCAGCAGGUUAAUACCCCGCUGUUCUGACGGUACCCAAAGAAUAAGCACCGGCUAACUUCGUG